AAACCAGAAAUCAGCAUGUUUCAAUAGUCAAGGUGAGAUGGAUAAAUACAUGACUAUGACGGUCUUUUGUGACACUCAUGAAAAGUAUGGAGGGAAUCUUAAACGUUACAGUGAAGAUGAAGUUCUAGCAAAAGUUCCUGAUGUGUCUUUGUUGGGAGAAAAGUUGAACAAAAGAUAACUCCUGGAUUUUUUUGUACAGUCACGUUGGGUAAUGGCACUUCAAUAAAACCACAGACAGGUGCCUUUGCCUGGCAGGACAAAUAAUAAGCAUCUCAUUUUUUUCAGGGUUAAGAAAGAAAAUAUAAUCAGGUCAUCAAGAGUUAAAUCUCAACAGGUCGAUCCUUCAGAUUACAGCAGUUGUGUGGGGCGUGGGUAGUUAGUGAAGUUCAGUAUCGUCAUCGUCACAGUGAGAGCUGCAGUCAACUGCGGGACUCCGCAGGUGACAUUACAAUACUGCGUGAAUUACACGGUGCGUCCUCUCUGACAGAUCAAAUCUGAGGCAAAAAUUUCAAGCCUUAAAACAAUAAACAUUUCAAGGCAAUCUAGUCGUGUCUCAUGAUCGAUGGAAUCAAAUGCGGCACUGAGGUCAAGAGGUUUCUGUGUACAGAGCUAGUAAAAGCCCCAUUAGCCAUUAGCCACUCGCCACUUUGGCGAGGGCCGUGCCUUUACAGUAAUCUGCCCUGAAUCUGCGUUGAAAUAGUUCAAACACAUUAUGAGAAACUAUGUCGUCAUUGAUCUAUUGUGCUAUGAUUUUUUUUUUCAAGAAAUUUGGAGAUAAAGAGGCACGGGCCUAUAUUUGAAGACUAUAAUAAUGCUGAAAUAUUUGACCAAACACGAGACUGGUAGCAGCAUAGUCACUCGCAAAAUAUGUCUUUCUGCCAAUACAAUGAGAGCCCAGGUGAAAUAGAAACAAUGAAACCGAGAAAUGCAGAUUUUUUUGGAGCCCUGCAACAAUGUGCCAUCUUACAAAACGUUAUACUCUGGGACACUCGAUGAGACUAACUGCUCGUUGAA